rnacentral:miRNA from 1 species
UGAGAUCACUGUGAAAGCUGAUU